rnacentral:rRNA from 2 species
GGGGAAUAUUGGGCAAUGGGGGAAACCCUGACCCAGCAACGCCGCGUGAGGGAAGAAGGCUUUCGGGUUGUAAACCUCUGUCGCAGGGGACGAAACAAAUGACGGUACCCUGUGAGGAAGCCCCGGCUAACUACGUGCCAGCAGCCGCGGUAAUACGUAGGGGGCGAGCGUUGUCCGGAAUUACUGGGCGUAAAGGGUGCGUAGGUGGCUAUUUAAGUUGGAUGUGAAAUACCCGGGCUUAACCUGGGGGGUGCAUUCAAAACUGGAUGGCUAGAGUGCAGGAGAGGGAAGCGGAAUUCCUAGUGUAGCGGUGAAAUGCGUAGAUAUUAGGAGGAACACCAGUGGCGAAGGCGGCUUUCUGGACUGUAACUGACACUGAGGCACGAAAGCGUGGGGAGCAAACA